CGAGAACAGGGGUUCCUGUAUGAGCCUUGUCCCAGUCUGGUUGGUAAUCCUCGUCUGAAAAAAGCCUGUUGUGGCGUGGGACUGAGAAAAGGGGGUGAGAUAGACAGACAGACAGACCCAGCCUGCAGUACGGAGCCGCAGCCUCGCAGCCAGGAGCCACUCAGCAAGGACCUGUCACAUCACAGUACUGCAGCCCCACAGAGGACCCAGGCACCUGAAGGGCGAGAGAGAAGAACAGAGAGCAAAAGAGAGCAAAAGAGAGGAGACCAAUCACAGGGUACGACGAGGGCACCACACCACAUCACACCAGCCAGAAAUGCAAACACCACCAAACUUUUGGAGAAACGACUAAACUUUUUUCCUCUUGAUCAAAAGGAGACCUGUGCUGAGUUACAUAGUACCUGAUAGUUGGGUGAACAGUAGUGUUAUACCGUUCUAGAGUGAGUUCUAGGGUUAUCCGGGAGUGUUCCAGAGAGUUCCCGGGAGAGUUCCAAGCGUGUUCUAGAGUGAGUUCUAGGGUGAUCCGAGAGUGUUCCCGAGAGUUCCCGGGAGAGUUCCAAGCGUGUUCUAGAGUGAGUUCUAGGGUGAUCCGAGAGUGUUCCCGAGAGUUCCCGGGAGAGUUCCAAGCGUAUUCUAGAGUGUUCUAUACAGUGUUCUAGAAUAUUUUCAUCGGCCAUAGGAUCUGUGGGAACUAGAGCCAGACAGCAGGAUGAGUGCCACUGAAGACAUAGCAAAAGACUACUAUGACUACCCUGAUUGGAACAUGGAGAACCCUGUGCCUACCAAGGUCCCAGCUGAAGUAAUCCCACCAUGUGACCCUACAGCUGAUGAUAGACUCUACCACAUCUGCAUCUCUGCCAUUUCU